AUUGAACGCUGGCGGCAGGCCUAACACAUGCAAGUCGAGCGAGCGGCGGACGGGUGAGUAAUGCCUGGGAAUUGCCCAGUCGAGGGGGAUAACAGUUGGAAACGACUGCUAAUACCGCAUACGAUUGGAUUGCCCAGGUUGGAUUAGCUAUUUGGUGUGGUAAUGCCUCACCAAGGCGACGGUCCCUAGCUGGUCUGGGAGGAUGAUCGGCAAACUGGGAACUGAGCAACGGUCCAGACUCCGACGGGAGGCAGCAGUGGGGAAUAUUGCACAAGGGGGGAAGCCCUGAUGCAGCCAUGCCGGGUGUGUGAAGAGGGCCUUCGGGUUGUAAGGCACGUUCAGCGAGGAGGCGUUACUCGCAGAAGAAGCACCGGCUAACUCCGUGCCAGCAGCCGCGGUAAUUC
rnacentral:rRNA from 1 species